UGGGGAAUUUUGGACAAUGGGCGAAAGCCUGAUCCAGCAAUGCCGCGUGUGUGAAGAAGGCCUUCGGGUUGUAAAGCACUUUUGUCCGGAAAGAAAUCCUUGGCUCUAAUACAGUCGGGGGAUGACGGUACCGGAAGAAUAAGCACCGGCUAACUACGUGCCAGCAGCCGCGGUAAUACGUAGGGUGCAAGCGUUAAUCGGAAUUACUGGGCGUAAAGCGUGCGCAGGCGGUUUGCUAAGACCGAUGUGAAAUCCCCGGGCUCAACCUGGGAACUGCAUUGGUGACUGGCAGGCUAGAGUAUGGCAGAGGGGGGUAGAAUUCCACGUGUAGCAGUGAAAUGCGUAGAGAUGUGGAGGAAUACCGAUGGCGAAGGCAGCCCCCCUGGGGCCAAUACUGACGCUCAUGCACGAAAGCGUGGGGAGCAAACAGGAUUAGAUACCCUGGUAGUCCACGCCCUAAACGAUGUCAACUAGUUGUUGGGGAUUCAUUUCCUUAGUAACGUAGCUAACGCGUGAAGUUGACCGCCUGGGGAGUACGGUCGCAAGAUUAAAACUCAAAUGAAUUGACGGGGUCAUAGCUGUUUCCU
rnacentral:rRNA from 1 species